ensembl:lncRNA
CUUUAUUGCCAUGUCCUCCAGUUCACAGUACAUGAACAACAUUUUGUCAGUAGACUUCCUGUGAGGGAAAGAACAGGUUUAGAGGUGGCAUCAUACUGAAAACAUGUUUUUGUGUUUUACAAUACAUUCCCUCAGUGUGCCACUGCCUGGUUAUGGUAACGUCAGCUCUUUAACUGGCUGAGCUGAGUGCAUAAUGUGUGCUACCGUUCUGACCUGAUGUGUGGCCCAGGCCUGCCGUAAACCUACACCAGGAUAUGACUUCAUGUGUAGUUCUACUGGUAAUCAUGUCCUGUAUUCUAUCUUGACAUUCCAGCUCUGUGUGGUAAGUAGGGCAUAUACUGAUGCCAUGGUUUCCUGUAAGGAUGGUGCCAUGAUAUAAAAGGCAAACCAAUAAGAGGAUAACAGGAAAACACUGUUCAUUUAUCUGUGCUCUUACAGCAUGGAGGGGAGGAGGGAACAGCCACAUGUCUCUACCAGGGAUCUUUCUCACAGGUUUCCUAUUGGCUGGUUGGAGAUCAUUUGCCAGCUGAAGUAGCCUACAGCAGGUAAGAGCCUAUUGAAUUGUUACUAUCUGUAAUGUGUUGUUAGGUGUCAGACAUACGUUCUGUGUUAGGUGUCAGACAUACGUUCUGUGUUAGGUGUCAGACAUAUGUUCUGUGAUGCAUAAAUGGGUCUUCAAAGUGCACUCAAGAGUGUGAUUUGGAGGAUGGUUUAUACUUGUCCAAAUGAUUGUGGAAAGUUGCGUUUUUCUGCAUCAAAUGAUUAUAUUUUGAUAGGGUUGGAGAUACUGGUCUUUAACCAGUGCUAUACAGAAUAAUUCCCAUUAACCUAACAAAACACAAACUUCAUAUCGUCUUCAUAUAACCCAUUUGACAAUUUCCUGGGGUCCCUAAACCCAUCUUACUGUAGGUCUUCUUUUAGAUUUAUUUAGGGUUGCAGAGCGGACCCUGGAGAGACCCCAUACCAACCAAACGUACAUCUGCGUCUGUCAUGUGGCAGACACACCUGUCUGUUCUGGAGGGUACAUGACAACCUGUCACUGUCUGCUACCAUAAAGAACUGAAAUGAAGACACCAAGCUGAGUUACCGUUCAUUACACUUUCAGGUAGGCAGAAUGUCUGAGAGAGAAGCCUUCACAUGAACCAGUCUGACCAUGUUGUCUGUCCGGUCCUCUGUGGACAGUCUGAGUCACUCUUUAACAUGUACCUAGUGGCUUUAGAGACCUUAUUGAAUGUGAACGUAGGAGCUCUGAAUGAAUAGCUCAAUAGUAAUAUGAUAAUGAUAACCAAUAUUAUUUCCCCAAGAAAUACUAGAACAUUGCAGAAAUAUAUUUCCUGCUGUCUUCUUAUGUUUGAAUUUCUACCAAAAAAAGAUGAUUCCUUAAAACCAACCCCCACCAUACCAGUUUAACUUUUUAGCACAUGUAAUUGCUUCCUCCCUCCCCCCCCUUGUAUUAAAA